rnacentral:lncRNA from 1 species
ACCUGACUCCCCGCGGGACUUCCAAGGCAGCAUAACUUCGGGUCCAGACUGGGCUGUCAGGCUUUUCCAGGAAGGAUCCAGGAACCCCUUAACUAAUCCAGGCAGUGACCUGGGAGAACUCGGGAGAACCCGUGGCAGCCCCCAGCAUCCAGGAUGUUCACUCUGACCAAAGCCUUAGAAAAGGCUCUUCUCCAGCAUUUCAUAUAAAUGAAGGUGAACAUCGCCUAUGCCAUCAACAAGCCAUUCCCCUUCUUCGAAGCGCUCCGGGACAAAUCCUUCAUCACUGAGAGAAUGUACAAGGUGAGGCUGUGGACCCUCCACAAAGCUCUCUAGUCCUCAUUAAGUAUGUUUCAGUAUUGAGAUCUCUGACCACAACCCAUCAGUGUUUCUAGAACAUGGAAGGCCCAACUUGACCAUGAUCAUUAUUGCAGGAAGGGAGGUUGGGAGAAAGGGUGUCUUGAGGCUGUAUUAGUGAUAGGGUAUAUUGUAGGUGCUGUAAGUUCAAAGAUGGAUCUGUUUCUUGCCUCUGUUUAGCUUCUGGUGGCUGGAAGCUCUUGGAGUUCUUAGAUUAAUAGUCUGCACUGCACUCACUGCACUGACCCCAACUCCCUGACUCAGCUCCACUGCACUGCACUCAACUGACUGACUGAACUCAGAGACCUGAAUGACUCUGUCUCCUGAGUGCUAGGAAUAAAGCAAGUACUGCCAAGCCUGGACCUAAGCUUUUCUUUACAAGCAACUUUCUCUGUCCCAAGCUGGCCUUCAACUCAGAGAUCUGCUUGCCUCUGACUCUUGGGAUUAGAGGUGUGUCUGUAUUCCAGCCAGAUCACACAGACCUAGAAGGUCUUUGGAUAUGAUGAUCACUUGCCAAAGCAGCCCUGUUGCUGGAUUAAAAUUCCUCUACAAAGAAAAUUGCAGCAGCCUUUUCCAAGUCUGACACAGCUCCAGCUCCUUCAUCAGUCCACAGCCCACUCACUCACUGAGACUCACGUUUUCCUUCCAACAACCGUGCUUUCCUUCCACCUGGGCAGUACUCCCACCUGGGCAGGGCCCCACCUGGGCAAGGUCCCACCUGGACAGCAACACCGCCUGAACAGGGCUCCACCUGGGGAGGGUAUCACCUGCCCCAUCACCGGAUCCAUCUGGGCACCCAAGGACUAGCUAACCAGGAAUAGCAGACACUGGAAGAAUUUUGCAGCCAGUUCUCUCUUUCAAUGACUUCUAUCCUAAAGAUUUAACUCUAUAUUUUAUACUAAAAUUCCUCUUAAAUUAAAAAAGAAGAUUUCUUAAAUUUGGGGGUUUUGUUCUGUUCUGUUCUGUUUGAGACAAGAUUUCUCUGUGCAGCCCUGGCUGUCCUGGAACUCACUUUGUAGAUCAGGAUGCCCUCAACUAGAAAACAUUAGCAAUCUGACUGCCUGUCUCCUGAAUGUUGGAAUUAAAGGCGUGUGUCACCAAGCCUGACUUUUAUAUAUUUUUUAAGUACUGUAUUUAUUUGGGAGCGAGGUGCGCAUGUGCCAUGGUGUGCAGGUGGAGGCUGAAUGACACCCUGUAGAAUCUGUGCUCUCCUUCCACCCUCCAGAUCACAGGGAUCAGACUCAGAUCAAGCUUGACGGCCAAUGCCUGCACCCACUUAGCCAUCCUCAGCAGCCCCCAAAGUAGCUUUCUUACAAUAUAGAAAACCACAGAUAGAGAGCUCUCCGCUCGGUGACUACUCAUUCAAACUAACUCUCUGCUCCACUCUUUGAAGGAAUCUCUGGAAGCCUGUCAAAAUCUGGUCCCUCUGUCCAAAGUGGUGCACAAUAUUCUCACCAGUCUGGAGCAGACUUUCCACCCGUCAGUGCUGCUGACGUUGUUCAGCAAGGUCAACCUCCGGGAAUACCCCAGCCUGGUGGCAAUUUUCAGAAGCUUCAGAAACGGUAAUGUGGUUUCUCCGAUCCUUGUCACAUGUGCAGUGGUGCUACAGUAAAAGCCUGGGUUUGUUUCCAGUGUGGAUUGUGCAUUCCAAUGCCUGCUUUCCCUGUGUAAAGGCAUAGACCACGCUUGCUCACAAAAGCUGCUGGAAGCAUCAUCCUGGCUGACUCUGACCUCAGCUUCCACGAUUCGAAUUUCUAUAGGACACAGGUGUUUUUAAUACAGCUAUUCAGUGAAGA